GACGAACGCUGGCGGCGUGCCUAAUACAUGCAAGUCGAACGCAGUGGGGACGGGGGAUGAACACGUGGGUAACCUCCCGUCAGAGGGGAUAACACUUGGAAACAGGUGCUAAACCGAUACUGAUGGAUGGACCCGCGGUGCAUUAGCUAGUUGGUGGGGUAACGGCUCACCAAGGCCACGAUGCAUAGCUGGCCUGAGAGGAUGAUCAGCCACACUGGAACUGAGACACGGCCCAGACUCCUACGGGAGGCAGCAGUGGGGAAUCUUCGGCAAUGGACGAAAGCCUGACCCAGCCACGCCGCGUGAGUGAAGAAGGUUUUCGGAUCGUAAAGCUCUGUUGUUAGAGAAGCGGUAUCUAACCAGAAAGCCACGGCUAACUACGUGCCAGCAGCCGCGGUAAUAC
rnacentral:rRNA from 1 species